GAUGAAGAACGCAGCGAAAUGCGAUAAGUAGUGUGAAUUGCAGAAUUCAGUGAAUCAUCGAAUCUUUGAACGCACAUUGCGCCCCUUGGUAUUCCAUGGGGCAUGCCUGUUCGAGCGUCAUUUGUACCUUCAAGCUUUGCUUGGUGUUGGGCGUCUUGUCGUAUUACGACUCGCCUUAAAUACAUUGGCAGCCGGCACUUUGGCCUAGGAGCGCAGCACAUUUUGCGAUCGUAGCCCGUUGUACUGGCGUCCAUCAAGAACAUUUACCACGUUUGACCUCGGAUCAGGUAGGGAUACCCGCUGAACUUAAGCAUAUCAAUAAGCGGAGGA
rnacentral:misc_RNA from 1 species